AGUUUGCAGAAUGGAAGAACUUUGAGUGAAAGACAGACAAGCUCUGCUUCAGCAUGGAUUCUAUUACGGUUGAUGGGGAGCCUGAUAAAGCUUCGCAUCAUGGUGAGAUCAGAGACUCCCAGGGACCCUCAACUGUGGUAACAAGCAAUGAUGAGUCUCAUGUACUGACUCCAGGAAAGAUGAGCCAGCGCCAGGGAAAAGAAGGGUAUCUUACUCCAACCAAAGAACCAUUCCAGCCGUCACUCAGUCCAGG